rnacentral:pre_miRNA from 1 species
UGUUGUCUGUGGUACCCUACUCUGGAGAGUGACAAUCAUGUAUAACUAAAUUUGAUUGACACUUCUGUGAGUAGAGUAACGCAUGACA